UAAUCCCUACGGGACGCAGCAGUGAGGAAUAUUGGUCAAUGGGAGAGAUCCUGAACCAGCCAAGCCGCGUGAGGGAAGACGGCCCUAUGGGUUGUAAACCUCUUUUGUCGGAGAACAAAACCCGGGACGUGUCCCGGACUGCGUGUAUCCGAAGAAAAAGCAUCGGCUAACUCCGUGCCAGCAGCCGCGGUAAUACGGAGGAUGCGAGCGUUAUCCGGAAUGAUUGGGCGUAAAGGGUGCGCAGGCGGUCCUGCAAGUCUGGAGUGAAACGCAUGAGCUCAACUCAUGCAUGGCUUUGGAAACUG
rnacentral:rRNA from 1 species